rnacentral:sRNA from 1 species
UGAACCCCCAGUGAACGUGAUUGUUGGGGGGAGGACGGUAAUGGGGGAGGAUGGAGAGGGGGAACACCCAAUGCUUUUAUGUUUAAAAGCAAGCUUAGAUUUGGGACCAGGGUAAUUUAAUUCCCACAGCGACUGAUGUUGAAUGCUUCUAUGAUGUCACAACCCUCUUGAGCAAAGGAUGACCACUUAAACAGUUAGAUGGACAGUCCUCGUGCCAGCAAUUUAAACACUCCCUGGACACCUUGAGGAAGCUACCUGGAAAUGACAGCAGCUUGCUAACAGAGUAACGCCAGCUCCAGAAGGCACUGGAAGCCUUGUUUCAGCUUCGCCUGUUUCAGUUUGUGCUGGACUUGGCGAACUCUAGAUAACCCUGCAGACAUCUCCACCCAGGCCAGAGGACUGUCACCUCCCCAAGUGGCACAGCAGAAGGCCUGUGAUCAGUCCGCCGUUUGCAUAAAAGUCUGCCACAAUUGGCGCACACCCACUUCUCGUCUAUAAUGGGCUGGUGACACCAAGAUCAUGGGACGGCAGCAGCUUUUAGUCAGCUGCCGGGAACUGCAGCAGCAAGGAACAACCGUGACAAGAGCAGCCAGGGGACAGCUGAGGAGUUUCAGAGAGUGGCUGGAGGAGCAGUGACAGGCAAUUAGGGUGACAGAGUCCAUGAAGGAUGUAAAGACCUGGAGGAGAAACUGCAAGGCCGGAUCAUUGGUCAUGUUCAAGGGAGCUGCCCAGGACAGGGACCAAGUGUCUUAUUCACCGUAGUUCAGUUGUCAUGUCUGAGGAGCCGCACGCUCUGGACGCUUACAGGGUGAGGCUCCGAGCAUCUGAGGCUUGUAGAAGAGCAGUAACAGAAGGCAGUGCCACCUGGUGCUUUUUCUUGCUAUGUUUCUUGCUUUUUCUUGUUGCUGAAAGCAAAAGGUCAUUACAAUAGCUGACAAGUGUCAGGGUGGUUCAAACCCAGAGCAAUAAACCUCAAGUCCAAGUAUCUAGUUUCCAAAGGUUAAAGCCACGGUUCCUCACACUCACAGCUCGGAACUGUAAGCCUCUAGGUUCACGAGUCUGGUGAACACUCCAGGGCCCAGAAUGGCCAGCACCAAAAGAACUUUUCCUCAUUCCCCCGCCCUCCCCCCAUGAUUCCUAUCUGGGUAGAAAAGGAAGCACAGCCAGCUGACAGGUAACAUGUCCGCUUACACAUACUUACAUUUCCUAAUAGGGUCUUAUCCAUGUGUUCUACAUAGCACACUCUUAGCAGAUAUCUCCGUACUCCAGGCUGGUGGAUGCCCCUAUACCCUGAAGUGGGCAGGGAGAAGACUCCCUAGUGAUGUGAGCCUCUCUUGAACCCUCUGUGGUAAAGGUAGGAGAGGGAUCUAGGGCCCCUGUCAGACACUAUCUAGAUAUGUGUCUGGGAAGAUAGAACUGAGACAGAGGGCAGCAGAAGAAUGGUUUUAGAAGAAUAGUAGUAUGUUUCAUCUCGGUCCUAAAGUCCAGAAGUCUCCAGUGGUGCCAUAGCAGGCCCAGGAUGAGGGUGUGCACCCCUCCUGCUUCCCCUUGCCUCUGGUGGCUGCUGGCAGAGCUCGGCACAUGGCCUCGGGCAGAUGGUUCCAAAUGUCCAAGAGAUCAGGUUCAAUGGCCAGCAUUUUCUCCUUGUCCAUCUUCACAAUCUGCAGCCAGAGCUCCACUAGAGAUGUUCAGCUCCAGGCUGGGCUCCUUCGCUAGGUGUCAUCCACACUCCCAGUCUCCAAGGAGGCUUCACCUUCUAUUAGCCACAUGCCCUCAUUUCGGUUCCCGCAACUGUUUCUCAUGUGGAAUAGGCUCAAUAAUCGGAAGUCUAGCGGUGGUGGGAGGACCUGGGAACGGAGCCAGAACCUUUUGCAUGGCCACUGCUCAUCACUGCCAUCCGUCUGAGCCCCAGUGAUGCUGGCUCCUCUCCCCAGUCUCCAUUGGCAUCCAGGUGUGGAAUCCCAGCUGCACGAGCGAGCGAGCGUCAUUAUCACAGUGAGAGAAUUUGCUCACCUGCCAGCUUGCUCUGCCCCUGCAGGCUCACUCCGCCCCAUGCUGGAGGAAGUGUCAGGAUCCAUCGAGCAGGGACACCUACCCAAUGGCCAGAGUUGACCGACACCAGGAGCAUCUCAAGGCAUCCCCGCUCCUCCGAAUCUCAGCAUCCAGGAUGAAGGUCAAGUGCUUACAGCAGGAGUUCACUGAUAAAUAAUUGCAAGACAGGCUGACUGCAGGUGGGCUCCCAAACACAGCAUCGUCUCUAGGCCCCCUGGACAUUGGAUGUUAGAACGGAGGAGGUACGGGGGUAGAAAAGGGAAGAAUGUUCUGAUGAUGGGGGACCUCCACCUCUUACUGAGGCUGUAGACCAGGCUUCUGGUCCACCGGAAAAAUAGAAGUCAGAAUUUU